rnacentral:lncRNA from 1 species
GUGUAAAUCCCAGUCCAAUCUUCAGAUAUAUGAAGCCCUGGGGCCUCAGUAUUCUCAUCUGUUAAACGGGGGAUGCUGCCUUGCCCAGCUCACAUGCUAAAAUGUUUAUAAAACCAAAAAAAUUGAAAGUAGUAGAUAGCAUAAUGAAGAAAGAAAACUCUGUGGUCCAUUUAACAAGAUCAUAAACACAACAUGCAUGUACCAAAUAUACAAAUCACAAACUGACACACAAUACGCAACACACACACACACAAAACACACAUGCACCAAAUAUACAUAUCACAAACUGACAUACAAUACACAACACACACACAAAACACACAUGCACCAAAUAUACAUAUCACAAACUGACAUACAAUACACAACACACACACAAAACACACAUGCACCAAACAUCCAACACACACACACACACAAUAUUUUAGACGUUUUCUUUCUGGCUUCUCAAAUUGUAUUAUAUACCUUACAUAUUGGUAUAAUAAUUGGUACAAUUGUUAUAAAAUGAGAGUCCUUUUGCAAAGUAUUUUUCAUAAUUGGCAACAAUAACAUCAUUCUAUUAAUAACAUUGUCACACACCCCCUCAGGAUUCCAUCUUGCAGGUAAUUUUUGCAUAUACUCAAUAUGCCCCUAUAUGCCUGGCACAGUGCCUCGGGGUUAAACACACUUCCAGUGUGUCAACUGAUGAGAGUAAUGCUGUGUGAUACAAACAUUCCUAUAUCUGCAUGAAUGUGUAUUAUACUAAGGAUUCUUGCUGUAUCAUUUUUUUUUAAGUUUGGCAUUUUGCACAUCUAACAUCUCUAUGUCAGAGCCAUAGCUUGUUCUGCGUGUCAGCUGGACUCACUUGGGAAGAGGAUGCCUCUGCUGUGGAAUUGCCUUCAUCUGGCCUGUGGGCAUGCUCACUGAUGUAGAAGGGUCUAGCCCACCGGGGGAAGUGCCAUCCCCUAGGCAGAUAGGUCUGGGCUGUAUAAAACCCAGAUGAUGUCAUGAGGUGUGUCUUGUUUUCUUUUCUGGGUCAAGCCCCCUGAUGGUGUAUCCAUUCCCAAAUGGUCAGCCCUAAAUACAUACAAUGAACACU